GAUGAACGCUAGCGGCAGGCUUAAUACAUGCAAGUCGAGGGGGAUUAGUUGUCUAGCAAUAGAUGGCUAUGAGACCGGCAAACGGGUGCGGAACACGUACGCAACCUUCCCAAAACUGGUGAAUAGCCCUCCGAAAGGAGGAUUAAUACACCGUAACUUAAUGAGGUGGCAUCACUUUAUUAAUAUAGCUCCGGCGGUUUUGGAUGGACGUGCGCCUGAUUAGGUAGUUGGCGGGGUAACGGCCCACCAAGCCUACGAUCUGUAGCUGGUCUGAGAGGAUGAUCAGCCACACUGGGACUGAGACACGGCCCAGACUCCUACGGGAGGCAGCAGUGGGGAAUCUUGGACAAUGGGCGCAAGCCUGAUCCAGCCAUGCCGCGUGGAUGAUGAAGGCCUUAGGGUUGUAAAAUCCUUUCAACGGGGACGAUAAUGACGGUACCCGUAGAAGAAGCCCCGGCUAACUUCGUG
rnacentral:rRNA from 1 species